rnacentral:rRNA from 1 species
UACGGGAGGGGCAAGCGUUAUCCGGCAUAACUGGGCGUAAAGAGUCCGUAGACUGUAAAAUAAGUUGCUUGUUAAAAUUUAAAGCCUAACUUUGAAAUAGCUUGUAAUACUGUUUUACUUGAGUUUUAUACAGAAGAGUAGAAUUUUAUACGAAAGGGUAAAAUCUAAAAAUAUAUAAAGGAAUACCAGUAGCGAAGGCGACUCUUUGGUAAAAACUGACGUUGAGGGACGAAAGUAUGGGUAGCAAACAGG